AAAAUUCUAAUUAAUUUUCCACACAGAUAUUUCAAACUUCAUAUGGCGCGUUAAAGGUACGCAAACUUAUUGGUGUCACUUAUUGUAGCAACGUAGAACUUUCGAAGCGAUGGAAUAUGUGCAAGCAAAUCCAGAACUAUGGAUGCAAACGCUGCUACAUGGAACACAAGUCAUUUACACACCAGAUAUUAAGUUUAAUGUCACUUUUUUGCGUGCAAUUAAACCUUUUGGUCAACACAAGCACGAUAGUUAGAACGACAUGGUUUAGGUGCUUUUGAAACCGUUUAUUAUCACGACGUAUGUAUGUCAACUGGGUUUUGCUAAUGAGCUAGAGGUCAAAGCAGUUUCAGUAUUUUUGGGCUUACCGGCACUUGGCCGUGCCAUUAGCAGCUAAAACACAGAAAUUAAAGGGAGGACUUUUUUGAUUCAUUUUCACCUUGUAUUGAGGAAUCAUAACGUUAUUGUAUCGCUUUAUAAGGACAUAAAUUCACCGAAAUUAGUUCAAUGGAAAUACUAUAGCAAGAGCAUGGAUGUUUAGACUUGAACGGUGCCGUGUCAGAUUUAGAAUUCCUGAAACAUAAGAAACCCUCCUCCCGGAUGAAUCUAUUACUAGUGAAAUUAAUGAAAGAACAGAUCUUAAAAAACUCCUAAAAAACCAAAAGAGUCUUCACAUAAUGCGCGCAGCUUACACUUCCAGCCCGCACGGGGUAUUUGACAUUUGCCACUCUUCCUCCAGCCUUUGUCCGAUAGCAAAAAUUGUUCAAUUAUUCAAUUCUUUAUACAUAUGUAUAUAGUGUAGUACGAUAAUAUAUGUAUAAAUAUAAAUAUAAUAAUAAACACCUAAA